rnacentral:rRNA from 1 species
GGCGAGUGAAGAGGGAAGAGCCCAGCACCGAAGCUUGCAGUCAUUUGAUUGCUGAGCAAUGUGGUGUUUAGGUUUGUUCUUUGCGUGCUGCUUUAUCCUAAGUCCAAUUAUGAGUAUGGCAAUUGGAUUGGCCCAUAGAGGGUGUAAGGCCCGUUGGGAUAAAGACCAGGCUAGUCGGCAUUAGCUCAGAGCAAACCUUGGAGUCGGGUUGUUUGUGAAUGCAGCCCAAAGUGGGUGGUAGACUCCAUCUAAGGCUAAAUACUAGCACGAGUCCGAUAGCAAACAAGUACCGUGAGGGAAAGUUGAAAAGUACUUUGAAGAGAGGGUAAACAGUGCGUGAAACUGCUCAAAGGUAAACGGGUGGAGUUGAACUGGAAGCUUUUGGAAUUCAGCUAGCUGGUUGUGCUGGCGCUUGGAAUCCGUUCAGUUACGGGCAUUUGUCUGCUUCAUUUAUGAUGUAGGCAGGUGUGUGCGGUGUAUUCGUUGAAUACUGCACGUCUAAGUUGCUUUGGUUGGCUGGCUAGUGCACUUUCCUUAGGUGUCCACCACGACCGGCACUGCUGCCUGUUCGUUUUGAUUAAACCAGUUGAGUGCAGCAAUCUUGUUGUUGUACUUCAUUGGGAUAGCAGGUGGCUUGUUAGUUGUGGGCUGUCUUUGGACAGCUCCGGCUAGCAGGUUUAAUCAGCUAGUUGAGGCGAAUCUGUGCAGUGUGUUGGAGACGACAGGGUCUGGUCGGCAGGGUGCGGUUAGUCGGAUGAUAUGGAUUGGCUGGAGUUGUUUGUGUUUCGCAAAUGCUUUGGCAUUCUGUGUUGUCCAGUUAGUUGUGCCAUUUUGCUGGUUAGAAUCAAGAGUCUGUGGUGCUGCGGUAGAUUAUCCACCUGACCCGUCUUGAAACACGGACCAAGGAGUUUAACAUGUAUGCGAGUCAAUGGGCAUUACGAAACCCACAGGCGCAGUGAAAGUAAAGGCUAUCAUUAGCUUAGGUGAGAUCCCGUUGCCGUUAGUCAGUUUAUCUGGCUUUGGUGCAGGCGCAUCACCGGCCCGUCCUAUUGUGUAUUUCACAGGGGCGGAGCUUGAGCAUACAUGUUGAGACCCGAAAGAUGGUGAGCUAUGCUUGCGUAGGUUGAAGCCAGAGGAAACUCUGGUGGAGGACCGUAGCGAUUCUGACGUGCAAAUCGAUCGUUUGACGUGAGUAUAGGGGCGAAAGACUAAUCGAACCAUCUAGUAGCUGGUUCCCUCUGAAGUUUCCCUCAGGAUAGCUGGCACUCUGACUCUAAUUUUUUCCGGUAAAGCGAAUGAUUAGAGGUAUUGGGGAUAAAAAAUCCUCAACCUAUUCUCAAACUUUAAAUGGGUCAGAGACUUUGCUCGCUUAAGUGGAGCAAAGCAUUGAAUAGGAGUGCCAAGUGGGCCGUUUUUGGUAAGCAGAACCGGCGAUGAGGGAUGAACCUAACGUUUGGUUAAGGUGCCUAAUGUAACGCUAAUGAGACACCACGAAAGGUGUUGGUUGGUCCAGACAGCAGGACGGUGGCCAUGGAAG